UUUCUUCUCUCCAUCUCUUCCUGAAACUCUCUCGAAGCGUAGAGGAACCUGAAAUGGUACAUGCCAUUGGCGACUCUUCCCUCUCCAGUCCAGUCCAAAUUGGGAUUCACGAUUGACUUCGUUUUCUUCUCUCCUAUUCGUCGCGCUUCUAUCGGUUCUCAGCGGACUCGUUUCCCGUACCGACUCAGCUUAGCAACCUUUCCGUCGUGAGCCUGGUCAUCCUCACUGGCAUCACAGCGCUGAGUCUGGAUUUGCCAGAAUAAGAAGAAGAAAUUGUUGAUUAAUUUGGCUUUUUAGAGUCACCGAAUUGCAAUUGAAAGUGUCUAGCUCAUGCCUAUGAUCAUAAGCUUUGUUCGUGAAUAUGGUUAUUAGAUUGGCUGAUUUUGGGUGACACAUUGAGAAUUGAAGUUCCACAUUAUGAAACUUGUCUUGUUUAUGCUCCAUUCUACUUGGUUUUAGUUGUGCUGAUCACUUGUUACUGAGUUUUACUAAAAACAAAGGAUGAAUCAAAGCAUCCAUCGGUGUUUCAGGAGCUUUAUCGAUUCAGCUACCUUCUCACCAUUGUUGUUCUGUUUUCGUUAUGUGAUCAGUUUUCCUUCCCCUUCUCUGUUUAUGCCUUUCUGAUUUUGUAGUGUGCAUAUGUUUUAUGGUUAAUGCUAAUCACUUGUGCUGAUAUGAAGUCAGUAUUAUGCAUAGGAGUUUGGAUGUUACAUAGUGGAGGUUCUGAUUCGUCCUGCUUGCAUACACUCCCCUAUAUCUGUACAUCAUGAGUUUGUGAGGUGGUUUUCUAUGCUUGUUACUUCUAGUGUAGAUUUCCGAGAAAGCAUAAACAGACUUUUCAUCAGGGAACUCAUCAGAUGAGGAGGGUUCAGAUGAUACUCAUGGGAGAAUAACGCAGCAAUGGAUUUCUUAAAGUGGGUAUUUGACAACACAAUGGUCAAGGCCACGGAAGUGUUUGUGAAGAUUACAAAGGUUGUGAGCGAGCUUUUCAAUAGUUACAAUGACGAUGGUGUUAACAAGAAGGGGAAAGAUACCAAAUUCAACAAUUGGCUCGAGGAAAAGCUGAUGACCUCGCUCCUCCUCUCCAUUGUGGUUCUACUGGUCGUUAUGAUUUCUAGAGCCUGCAACAAUAAGUAAAAAUUAUAUUAUACUUAAAACAUUUUUAUUUUGAAAAUGAUAUUUUUUCAAAAAUAAGAACUUCAAUUAGAGUCUUAUCA